ACAUAUUUAACAUUCUUUUUGGGUAUUUUCCAGGAAAGAGCUUGCAAAUGGAUCGACUCUCCCUUAUUCAACUUAUGUUCCAGUCCUCUUGAUCAAGCACCCUAGACUCCAGUCUCACACACGAUCUCCUGACUUAUGCUGGUCCAUGCUGGGAGGAAGUCAGCUGACAUGUCAUGAGGAAACUCAGGCAACAGAUGGAGAAAUCCUUGAGGUGAAGAACCGAGGCCUCGUGCCAACAGCCACAUGAGUGAUUUUAGA